AUGGAAUUGAUCGAUCAUAAAGCAUGUAUACUGACCUAUCCAUCAUCUUGGCUAGGAGGCGUACUGUGGUGCCCGUGCUGCCAUCCUAGCAACCUGUGCCUGCUGCUGCGCAUUGUUAACCUUGGUGCAGAGGACACGCUGGAAGAACUGCUCCCGUGCAAGUGCGCGCACGCUCCUGAGGUAGCCGUCGAACGGCACCGAUCCUUCCUGCACAGCCUUGUCAAGCGCAUAGAUGGUGUCCUCGAGCGCCAAAUCAGUAGCUGUGCACUCAAGCAUCUGCCUGGACAGCACAUCGGCCGGCUGGAUAGCCCCCUCCGCCUCGGCGGUGUCAUCAGCAGCCCCCUUGCGGUUCUCGGCAACCCAAGCCUCAAUGACGUCAGUGGCCAUCACCACGUCCUGAAGCCGGCGCUCGAGCGUCUCCUUCUCCUCCGUGAUCCUGCGCACCCCGUCGUUCACCGCCUCCCCCCGGCCACGCAGCUCGGCCUGCACGGCGAAGAGGGAGUCGACCUCAGCCUCAUGGGCGGUGCGCAGGGCAGCAGCAUCAGCAUAGGCAGUGUCGACGAGCUUGGAGAUGGCGUUGCGCUUGAAGACCUCGGCUGGGUCCUCUGUGGGCGGCUGGCGCGCGGCGAGCUGGGGCGAUGCCGGGAACCUGUAUGGGCGAGGGGCAGGAGCAUAGACGGCCUCGGGGCGCAUGGCGGGGGAGGCGGCGGCGGGAGGAGGAGGAGGAUGAGCGGGAGGAGGAGUGGGAGACGGGGCUGCGACGGAUCUGGUGAAGAGCGGCGGGUCGAGGCCGAAGAGGUGGGAGAGGGAUCUGACGAGGUCGAGGAGGUUGGAGGAGGGGAAGACCCAGGAGCGGAGGUAGGGCGCGUUGGCGACGAGGCCGGAGCGGUCGACGAGCGGGUGGUGGGGCUUGAUGAGCAUGUCGCGGGUGGGGGAGAGGAAGACGAGGGGCGGGGAGCGCGGGUAGGUCUCGGGCAGCCAGAUGACGGCGGGCAGGUUGUAGGUGGCCCCGGCGUGGUGGAUGGGGACGGUGCCGUCGGCCUGGAGCAGGUGCGCGGCGCGGCCGUCGUUGUGGGUGAAGAGGGCCGCCUUGGGGUGGAGCGAGGGGAAGGCGUCGGCGAGGGCCACGAGGUGGUUGCGGAUGAGCCACUUGACGUCCUCCGCGUAGGGGAGCGCCGACGGCCCGCGCUGGGAGAGGGCGGUGUUGAGGAACUGGUGCGCGUACUGCGCUCCGCUCGCCGCCGGCGGCGGGGACGGGGACGGCGCCAUGGGAUCGGGUCGGCGGCGGCUAGGGUUUGGUCCUCCUGCCUUCUCUGUGGAUAUUUGGGGAGGGGGGAAGGAGGAAGAAGAGUGCACGAUAGGAAGGGGAAGGAGGGUUCGCUUCCUUUUCCUUUGCAAUGA
rnacentral:rRNA from 1 species